CCUACGGGUGGCAGCAGUGAGGAAUAUUGGUCAAUGGACGAGAGUCUGAACCAGCCAAGUAGCGUGAAGGAUGACUGCCCUAUGGGUUGUAAACUUCUUUUAUAUGGGAAUAAAACGUUAUACGCGUGGGAUUUUGUAUGUACCCUAUGAAUAAGGAUCGGCUAACUCCGUGCCAGCAGCCGCGGUAAUACGGAGGAUCCUAGCGUUAUCCGGAUUUAUUGGGUUUAAAGGGUGCGUAGGUGGAUGGUUAAGUCAGUUGUGAAAGUUCGCGGCUCAACCGUGGAAUUGCAGUUGAUACUGUCAGGCUUGAGAGCAGUUGAGGUAGGCGGAAUUCGUGGUGUAGCGGUGAAAUGCUUAGAUAUCACGAAGAACACCGAUUGCGAAGGCAGCUCACUAGGCUGCAACUGACACUGAGGCUCGAAAGUGUGGGUAUCAAACAGGAUUAGAUACCCGAGUAGUC
rnacentral:rRNA from 1 species